rnacentral:rRNA from 1 species
CCGACGGUGAGGGAUGAAAGCUGGGGGAGCAAACCGGAUUAGAUACCCGGGUAGUCCCAGCUGUAAACGAUGCAAACUCGAUGAUGCGUUGGCUUAUUGCUAGCGCAGUGUCGCAGGGAAGCCGUUAAGUUUGCCGCCUGGGAAGUACGUACGCAAGUAUGAAACUUAAAGGAAUUGGCGGGGGAGCACCACAAGGGGUGAAGCCUGCGGUUCAAUUGGAGUCAACGCCAGAAAUCUUACCCGGAGAGACAGCAGAAUGAAGGUCAAGCUGAAGACUUUACCAGACAAGCUGAGAGGUGGUGCAUGGCCGUCGCCAGCUCGUGCCGUGAGAUGUCCUGUUAAGUCAGGUAACGAGCGAGAUCCCUGCCUCUAGUUGCCACCAUUACUCUCAGGAGUAGUGGGGCGAAUUAGCGGGACCGCCGCAGUUAAUGCGGAGGAAGGAAGGGGCCACGGCAGGUCAGUAUGCCCCGAAACUCUGGGGCCACACGCGGGCUGCAAUGGUAACGACAAUGUGUUCCAAAAUCGAAAGAUGGAGGUAAUCCCUAAACGCUACCACAGUUGUGAUUGAGGGCUGCAACUCGCCCUCAUGAACAUGGAAUCCCUAGUAACCGCGUGUCAUUAUCGCGCAGUGAAUACGUCCCUGCUCCUUGCACACACCGCCCGU